CAAAAGGCCAUGCAGGGGAGAUAGCAUGAUCAUGAAGGUGGUUUUCUUGCAGUGAGGGUUAUCCAUUGCACUCUGGAUGUGCUGACUCCUGUAACAUGCUGAAAUGAAAGUAACUCUGCUGUGUAAUCUUUGGUAGUUGGGGACUGUGUUUACAAUCUCUUC
ensembl:snRNA U1 U1 spliceosomal RNA